rnacentral:rRNA from 1 species
UAAGGAAUAUUGGUCAAUGGGCGCAAGCCUGAACCAGCCAUGCCGCGUGCAGGAAGACGGCCCUAUGGGUUGUAAACUGCUUUUGUCAGGGAAUAAACCCCCGCUCGUGAGCGGGGCUGAAGGUACCUGAAGAAUAAGCAUCGGCUAACUCCGUGCCAGCAGCCGCGGUAAUACGGAGGAUGCAAGCGUUAUCCGGAUUCAUUGGGUUUAAAGGGUGCGCAGGCGGAUUGGUAAGUCAGGGGUGAAAUCCCACAGCUCAACUGUGGAACUGCCUAUGAUACUGGCGGUCUAGAGUAUAGUUGAAGUGGGCGGAAUGUGUCAUGUAGCGGUGAAAUGCUUAGAUAUGACACAGAACACCGAUUGCGAAGGCAGCUCGCUAAGCUAUAACUGACGCUCAUGCACGAAAGCGUGGG